UACGUAGGGGGCAAGCGUUGUCCGGAUUUAUUGGGCGUAAAGAGCGUGUAGGCGGCCAGAUAGGUCCGUUGUGAAAACUCGAGGCUCAACCUCGAGACGCCGGUGGAAACCGUAAAGCUAGAGUCCGGAAGAGGAGAGUGGAAUUCCUGGUGUAGCGGUGAAAUGCGCAGAUAUCAGGAGGAACACCCGUGGCGAAAGCGGCUCUCUGGGACGGUACUGACGCUGAGACGCGAAAGCGUGGGGAGCAAACAGG
rnacentral:rRNA from 1 species